AAAAAACAUAGAAGACUAAAAGUCUUUGAAAAUACAUAUCGUUUUCAAAAAAAAAAAAAAAGGCAGCAACCCACAUUGAGAACACUCUGCAUGAAAAAAAAAUUACAUGAUUUCUCUCUGCCAUUCGAAUACAGGGUUAUAACAGAGAUGUGUUUGUCUUUCUUGCCUUCUUCUGGUCUUUUGGUGGCCAUGGAUUCACUCAUAUUCAACAACUUCUGUAAGUUGUUUUGCUGCAACAAACAUACAUAAUAUGAGAAGGUCACAGGCAAGCUUGGAGAGGACAAUAGCUAGGCUUAAGGACAACAACAUUAACGGAAGACAACAAAACAAGUUCACCAGUCAUUUAGGCAAUGCCUGGUUUCAUACCUAUCGUGUUUCCCUUUUUACAUUCAUGUAUCUAUGCAUAUGUUGUGUUUUCAUACAUUCGCAAUGUACUCAUGGCUCAUGUGUGAGACAAAUGUGUUUGAAAAUCAAUAAAAUGUUUCUUUUUAGAAUGA